rnacentral:lncRNA from 1 species
CCACGCUUGGAACUGAUCAGGGGUUAAGAACGGAUCUAGCAAAAACUUCACCUGGUGCACUGAAGUUUGUUUCUACUGAGCCAGGUGUAAUUUCAUGGUGCUGCCCUGUUGAUCUUCUCUAAAAUCACAGUUAAUAAGCACUUGCUGAGGAAACUUUAAUUUCAUAAAUUCUCCGUGCUCCUUGCUAUCUUUGCCAUAAAGGGAGUUAUAUGAGCGUUUUCUUUCAAGAGCAGCCUUACCCAUUUUGUGGCGUUACUUGUGAAUUCUAAUCUGUCCCACCUGGAGAUGUCUCCCUUAAUGCUGAACUACACUGAAGAAUAAAGUUUUCUGAAGUGUAUAAACGAGUUCAAGGGUCUUAAAAUUGCAUUAGUUUGUAGGGUGUAGCUGGUUUUACCAGAGUUACCAAAACAAUGCUUCUAUAUGCACACCAUGUGCAAUUAAAUACAUUCAUCUUCUUCAGAGUAGGAUUGAAUAAGCUUCCAGAAUUUAGCUGUUCUUGAUAUCUGUGUAUAACACAGAAUGGUCUGGAAAAAGCUUGCCGGGUCUUUUUUUUUUUUUCUUCUCUUCCUCAGUGUACCAGGAACUGCAUAAUUAAAUAGAGCAAUAUAAUGUGAAUUUGGGGCUGAGUGAUGUGAGUUUCAAGGAAAAAAUGUAGUAAUGAAGGUGUAGUACUUCUGCAGAAAAUCACCUUAUCUCUUUAUGCAAGAUUUCUGAGACUGGCUUUGUAGGCUUUCAUGGCUGGAAAGAAACAUGACACUGUCCGUGGCCUUUGUGGAUCAGAGAGCAGAUGCAAAGCUGUACCCUGAAGUCUACACGGAUGACGUCUUUCUUACACUGGACAGAAUUUAGCCUAGUUCCAUUUUAGUGGUGUUUCCAUUUAAUUUAAAAAAAAAAAAAAGUUAUACUGAAUCCUCUUACGUUGUGACUAUGUGAAGACUGGAACUUUGCACUGGGUACAAUAGACAGACAAGUGGUCCUAGAGGGUGUAUUGAUUUCCCUUGAUUUCUGAGGUGAUUUCACCUGAGAGUUGAUUCUCAAAAAGUAUGCUCAUAUGCCUGAGCAUUUGUCUUGUCAAUCCAGUUAGUAAAAUACAAAAAAGACACAGGACCUGACACGGUAAGUAAAGUGCAGGUUUGGACCAACAGCUUCUGAAAAAGAGGUUGAAAAAUCCCUGGAAAACUGCAGGAAUUUAUGUUCUCAUGCACACAGAACUUUUGAGGUGAACAUCUAUGAGCUCAGGGAAGGAUUGUAGCUCGUGCUUUCUGCCACAUAAGGGAGAAAAGGAUGAAUGCACUGUGCUCCAAAUAAGGGCUUAGAAAUUCCAGACUAGAAAGAGGGAGAGAUGAUACAGUUGUAAAUACUAAAGUUGUGACUGCAAAAUGCAGAAAGCAUUUCUCUCUUGGUGGGAGAGAAAUGAAGAGUAUUGUGAAACUUCUGUUUAAUCAGAGGAGAGCUUCCACAUUUCUGUCACAUAAAUAUGCAGAAAGGAUAAGCUUAUAGCUUCAGCUGUCCUGAAGGCAGUGACACCAUAUGAAGACAGAACACAUGUGCGUAUGCCUGUAUAAACAUAUACACAGUUGUAGCCAGAAUGUAUAAUGCUGUCAGGAUUGAGCUUUCUCUUUCCACGGAUGUGCAUAUGCCCUCUUCAGUCUAAUUAGGUUUAUGACUCUACGUGCACGUGUACGUGCAAGAGAUAUAAAAUGCAAGUACUGUUGCUUUUGAUGUGAAAUAUUUAUUUUCUUGUACCAACUACAGGUCCCUAAGAGGGUACAUGUAAGGUUCAUACUGUAAGAUACAUGGCUGAAGCACU